rnacentral:rRNA from 1 species
UAGGGAAUAUUGGACAAUGGGCGAAAGCCUGAUCCAGCCAUGCCGCGUGUGUGAAGAAGGUCUUCGGAUUGUAAAGCACUUUAAGUUGGGAGGAAGGGCAGUUACCUAAUACGUGAUUGUUUUAACGUUACCGACAGAAUAAGCACCGGCUAACUCUGUGCCAGCAGCCGCGGUAAUACAGAGGGUGCAAGCGUUAAUCGGAAUUACUGGGCGUAAAGCGCGCGUAGGUGGUUUGUUAAGUUGGAUGUGAAAUCCCCGGGCUCAACCUGGGAACUGCAUUCAAAACUGACUGACUAGAGUAUGGUAGAGGGUGGUGGAAUUUCCUGUGUAGCGGUGAAAUGCGUAGAUAUAGGAAGGAACACCAGUGGCGAAGGCGACCACCUGGACUAAUACUGACACUGAGGUGCGAAAGCGUGGGGAGCAAACA